rnacentral:rRNA from 1 species
GCUAGUAAUGGCAGGUCAGCAUACUGCCGUGAAUACGUUCCCGGGCCUUGUACACACCGCCCGUCACACCAUGAGAGUUGGGAAUACCCGAAGCCUGUGAGCUAACUUAUAGAGGCAGCAGUCGAAGGUAGAAUCAAUGAUUGGGGUGAAGUCGUAACAAGGUACC